CCGUUGCUAUGGUAAAUUUUGCCAUAGUAACCGUUGCUAUGUAACCGUUGCUAUGGUAACUGUUGUUAUAGUAACCAUUGCCAAAGUGGUCACCAUAGCAACGAAAAGCAACAACAAU